ACGAACGCUGGCGGCGUGCUUAACACAUGCAAGUCGAACGGAAAGGCCCUGCUUGCAGGGUACUCGAGUGGCGAACGGGUGAGUAACACGUGGGUGAUCUGCCCUGCACUUCGGGAUAAGCCUGGGAAACUGGGUCUAAUACCGGAUAUGACCUUCCAUGUAGUGUGGGGGGUGGAAAGAUUUAUCGGUGUGGGAUGAGCCCGCGGCCUAUCAGCUUGUUGGUGGGGUAAUGGCCUACCAAGGCGUCGACGGGUAGCCGGCCUGAGAGGGUGGACGGCCACAUUGGGACUGAGAUACGGCCCAGACUCCUACGGGAGGCAGCAGUGGGGAAUAUUGCACAAUGGGCGGAAGCCUUAUGCAGCGACGCCGCGUGGGGGAUGACGGCCUUCGGGUUGUAAACCUCUUUCGACAGGGACGAAGCUUCGGUGACGGUACCUGUAUAAGAGGCACCGGCUAACUACGUG
rnacentral:rRNA from 1 species